UACAGAGGUCCCAAGCGUUGUUCGAAUUCACUGGGCGUAAAGGGUGCGCAGGUGGGUUUGCAAGUUCGAUGUGAAAGCCCCGGGCUUAACCCGGGGAAUGGCAUUGGAUACUGCAGAUCUGGAGGAUCGGAGGGGGGACUGGAAUUCUUGGUGUAGCAGUGAAAUGCGUAGAUAUCAAGAGGAACACCAGUGGCGAAGGCGAGUCCCUGGACGAUACCUGACACUGAGGCACGAAAGCUAGGGGAGCAAACAGG
rnacentral:rRNA from 1 species